rnacentral:misc_RNA from 1 species
CAAGGCUCAAAGCCGAAAAGCCCCACAAGAUACCACAUACGAGAUAGAGCCCAAAAGCCCUAAAAAAUCAUAAAGCCUAUAGGUCCACAAUACCCAAAGAAAAAAACUAGAGCUAAUAGAAGGCUUGGAAGAACGAGAGCAGAUAAGCAGUGUCACUCAACUUCUUCCGUCGUUUGCAAGAGGACCUUCGGAGUUUCUUGAGGGAAAGCACCAGCCAAAGCUCAAAAGUCAAUUCCUCUCAUAAAAAUACUCUUCCAGAACACGCAACAGAGCCUUAAGAGUGAACACAAUCGUAGCUCGAUCGGUGAACUUGCAGAGAGAGUUGAUCAGCGGGGCUCAACCGCAUCAGUGCCAGCCAUCAAUCAUGCCGGCUAUGAAACCUCUGAGAUGCAUCACAACAACUUAACGCCCCCUACUGCAGUGACGACUGUAAGGGUGGGGAAGGAUUAACACACACCUUGAGCUGGGGAAGAAGCCUUCCCUGCCUAAGAUAGGAG